rnacentral:rRNA from 1 species
CAGUAGCCACGGUAAUACGAAGGUCCCGAGCGUUGUUCGGAAUCACUGGGCGUAAAGGGAGCGUAGGCGGCGUGGUAAGUCAGAUGUGAAAUCCCGGGGCUCAACCCCGGAACUGCAUCCGAUACUGCCGUGCUAGAGGAUUGGAGAGGUAGCUGGAAUUCUUGGUGUAGCAGUGAAAUGCGUGGAGAUCAAGAGGAACACUCACGGCGAAAGCGAGCUACUGGACAAUAUCUGACGCUGAGGCUCGAAGGCCAGGGUAGCGAAAGGGAUUAGAUACCCCCGUAGUCCCUGUCUCUUAUAC